rnacentral:rRNA from 1 species
UGGGGAAUUUUGCACAAUGGAGGAAACUCUGAUGCAGCGACGCCGCGUGAGUGAUGAAGAUCUUCGGAUUGUAAAACUCUGUCCUUAGUGAAGAUAAUGACAGUAACUAAGAAGCAAGCCCUGGCUAAAUACGUGCCAGCAGCCGCGGUAAUACGUAUGGGGCAAGCGUUGUCCGGAAUUAUUGGGCGUAAAGGGUACGUAGGCGGUUUAAUAAGUCCUAAUUAAAAGGCUAUGGCUCAACCAUAGUAUGGUUAGGAAACUGUUGAACUUGAGUAGAUGAGGGGAAAGUGGAAUUCCAUGUGUAGCGGUGAAAUGCGUAGAUAUAUGGAGGAACACCAAUGGCGAAAGCAACUUUCUGGAAUCAAACUGACGCUGAGGUACGAAGGCGUGGGGAGCAAACAGG